UGAGACUCUGUGCGCGUGCAUAUCAAUAAGCGGAGGAAAAGAAACUAACUAGGAUUCCCUCAGUAACGGCGAGUGAAGCGGGAAGAGCUCAAAUUUGAAAUCUUCAAGGUUCUACCUUGACGAAUUGUAGUUUAAAGAAGUGUUUUCUGUUGGAGUUUUGGUAAAAGUUCUUUGGAAUAGGACAUCAUAGAGGGUGAGAAUCCCGUAUUUGACCAUUAUUUCCAACUUUGUGAUACACUUUCAAAGAGUCGGAUUGUUUGGGAAUGCAGUCCAAAAUGGGUGGUAAAUUUCAUCUAAAGCUAAAUGCUGGCGAGAGACCGAUAGCGAACAAGUACCGUGAGGGAAAGAUGAAAAGAACUUUGAAAAGAGAGUUAAACAGUACGUGAAAUUGUCAAAAGGGAAGCGUUUGACACCAGUGUUGUUUAGUUGAAAAUCCAUUCAAUAAUUUUUGAUUUUAAGUAGUAUUGACUUCAUCAGCUUGCUGCUUUCUUUUCGAAAAUUAUUGAAUGCACUUUUCAGUUAACAAGUCAACAUCAAUUUCUUUUGUUGUAAAAGGGUAAGAGGAAGGUGGCUUACGCUUCGGCGUCAAGUGUUUAUAGCCUUUUAUCUCUGCAAUCGGAGAGAUUGAGGUCAUGCAGCGUAGACUCCUUCGGGGUUAGAUACACUUGUGCUAAGCUAUAGCCUUGUAUAGACAACUUGUUGACUAUGCUCAGUCAUGUAGCUUACUCGCAUGUGCUAUUUUACCUACGCUUAGGAUGUUGAACUCUAUCACACACAG
rnacentral:rRNA from 1 species